rnacentral:rRNA from 1 species
UACGUAGGGUGCGAGCGUUGUCCGGAAUUACUGGGCGUAAAGAGCUCGUAGGUGGUUUGUCGCGUUGUUCGUGAAAACUCACAGCUUAACUGUGGGCGUGCGGGCGGUACGGGCAGACUGGAGUACUGCAGGGGAGACUGGAAUUCCUGGUGUAGCGGUGGAAUGCGCAGAUAUCAGGAGGAACACCGGUGGCGAAGGCGGGUCUCUGGGCCACUACUGACGCUGAGGAGCGAAAGCCAGGGGAGCAAACGGG